UGAGGAAUAUUGGGUCAAUGGGCGAGAGCCUGAACCAGCCAAGUAGCGUGCAGGACGACGGCCCUAUGGGUUGUAAACUGCUUUUAUAAGGGAAUAAAGUGAGUCUCGUGAGACUUUUUGCAUGUACCUUAUGAAUAAGGACCGGCUAAUUCCGUGCCAGCAGCCGCGGUAAUACGGAAGGUCCGGGCGUUAUCCGGAUUUAUUGGGUUUAAAGGGAGCGUAGGCCGGAGAUUAAGCGUGUUGUGAAAUGUAGUGGCUCAACCUCUGCACUGCAGCGCGAACUGGUCUUCUUGAGUACGCACAACGUGGGCGGAAUUCGUGGUGUAGCGGUGAAAUGCUUAGAUAUGACGCAGAACUCCGAUUGCGAAGGCAGCUUUCCAGCGCGCUACUGACGCUGAGGCACGAAAGCGUGGGGAUCGAACGGGAUUAGAUACCC
rnacentral:rRNA from 1 species